UAACUGAAGGUUUAAUGGAUAAAUAUAAUGUAGCACUAAAUGUGACUUUACAGAGUAAUUCACAUGGCAGCAUACGUGGUAAAUGGGAGUUGAAACUGGAAGUUGAGACAGCUCACUUAUUGCUUUUUCCCACAAUGUCAUUGCUGCUAACUACAGCACAAGCCACACUCCUGCAUAAGACACAGAAUGUUGAUCCUGCCCUGUGCUUUACUUUGUCCUGGCUUCUGACUAUACUGGUUUCC